rnacentral:tRNA from 1 species
GAUCACGUGGCUGAGUGGUUAGGCGAAGGUCGGCAAAAACCUUAUACGACAGUUCGAAUCUGUUCGUGAUUU